CGAACGGGUGCGUAACACGUGAGCAACCUACCGAAAUGAGGGGGAUAGCCGUCCCAACGGACGGGUAAUACCGCAUACGCUCUUGUCCAGGCAUUUGGAUAAGAGGAAACCUCCGGGGCAUUUCGAGGGGCUCGCGGCCUAUCAGCUAGUUGGUGAGGUAACGGCUCACCAAGGCGACGACGGGUAGCUGGUCUGAGAGGAUGGCCAGCCACAUUGGGACUGAGAUACGGCCCAG
rnacentral:rRNA from 1 species